rnacentral:rRNA from 1 species
GACGAACGCUGGCGGCGUGCCUAAUACAUGCAAGUCGUGCGGACCUUUUAAAAGCUUGCUUUUAAAAGGUUAGCGGCGGACGGGUGAGUAACACGUGGGCAACCUGCCUGUAAGGCUGGGAUAACGCCGGGAAACCGGGGCUAAUACCGGAUCGUUUUUCCUCCGCAUGGAGGAAAAAGGAAAGGCGGCUUCGGCUGCCACUUACAGAUGGGCCCGCGGCGCAUUAGCUAGUUGGCGGGGUAACGGCCCACCAAGGCAACGAUGCGUAGCCGACCUGAGAGGGUAAGCGGCGAAGCUGGGACGGGAACACGGCCCAAAAUCCUACGAGAGGCAGCAGUAGGGAAUCUCCAGCGAUGGAAGAAGGUGUGAAGAAGCAACACCGCGUGAGAGAAGAAGGCCUCCGGGUCGUGAAAGUCUGUUGCCGGGGAGGAACGAGUGGCGUUCGAACAGGGCGGGGCCUUGACGGUACCCGGCCAGAAAGCCACGGCUAACUACGUG